GACGAACGCUGGCGGCGUGCUUAACACAUGCGAGUCGAACGAAGAGCGAUGGAAGCUUGCUUCUAUCAAUCUUAGUGGCGAACGGGUGAGUAACGCGUAAUCAACCUGCCCUUCAGAGGGGGACAACAGUUGGAAACGACUGCUAAUACCGCAUACGAUCUAAUCUCGGCAUCGAGGAUAGAUGAAAGGUGGCCUCUACAUGUAAGCUAUCACUGAAGGAGGGGAUUGCGUCUGAUUAGCUAGUUGGAGGGGUAACGGCCCACCAAGGCGAUGAUCAGUAGCCGGUCUGAGAGGAUGAACGGCCACAUUGGGACUGAGACACGGCCCAGACUCCUACGGGAGGCAGCAGUGGGGAAUCUUCCGCAAUGGACGAAAGUCUGACGGAGCAACGCCGCGUGAGUGAUGACGGCCUUCGGGUUGUAAAGCUCUGUUAAUCGGGACGAAAGGCCUUCUUGCGAAUAGUGAGAAGGAUUGACGGUACCGGAAUAGAAAGCCACGGCUAACUACGU
rnacentral:rRNA from 1 species